AGAUCACUUGAGUCUGGGAGGUUGAGGCUUGCUGUGAGCCAAGAUCACUCCAGUGCACUCUAGCCUGGGCAACAAAA
rnacentral:snRNA from 1 species